CGAAAGAGUCACCUUACCUUGAUACUUAAAACCUGAACGAUACCGUCAUUAACUUGAUUCUUCAAUAGUUACACACGAUACCUGUAAAUGCUUUAAUCAAUAUGUUAUUUGACACAGCAAGUUUACUGUGCAUUUCUCGUUAAGUUGUAUCUCAAUUAAAACCCCUUAUGAACUCUAAAGAACCACCAUACAGUAUUGGUUUUCAAAGCAAGUACAAUAUAUUACCUGCAGUGUGUACUUGUCUUGGACAGUACACUAUAUUCUCUGUCAGAUUUAUUCUAAUAUAGACACAUACAGGUAACUGCCAAGAUAAUGGAAACAUUUGACUAAAUGGGGAUAGUAGUAGUAGUAGGUUUAAUUGGUUUCUCACAGUCAUAGACUGAAAUGUACACCAAUUUACAGUCAUAACAUCAAUCAAAUAUAAUUAUCAGAUCCUAAACUAGCAAAACAGUUAAUAUAAUACAAUGUUAAAAUAUGCAAUAUAUGUAAACAAAACAAGAAUGACAAGUUUAAGGGUGGCAGCUUUAUUUAUAAUUUUUCCUUUAUUUAACUAGGCAAAUCAGUUAAGAACAAAUUCUUAUUUCCAAUGACAGCCUAGGACAGUGGGUUAACUGUCUUGUUCAGGGGCAGAACGACAGACUUGUACCGUGUCAGCUCGGGGAUUUGAACUUGCAACCUUCCUAGUCCAACGCUCUAACCUCUAGGCUACCCUGCCGCUUUUCAAAAAUCACAUCUUAGAGUUCUUAGGAAGACAUUUGCCCUGGGCUAUAUGGUGUAUGCAUGAUCAGUGUAGUGAAGAAUGGGAUGGUAGAGUUCUGACAGCGACCUGCACGUGUCAUCGGAGUGUUCAGUUUGUGGCUGUUGCGAGUUUCCUGUCCAGUAAUCUGCUGUCUGCUUGGAUGGAGCCAAUCUGCAAACUGGGAGUUCUGCAGGGAUUUAGUAAAUGUCAGUCAGAUCUGAUCCCGUCUGCUCUCCAAAGACAUGAUUCAGAGGGUUUACACGAGUGUGGAGCAAUUAACAUCCUAUUAUGCAGGAGGGAAGGGUAGCACUCCUAGGAAACCCACUAUCUUAUCUGGUGCACCAAAUUCCCCCUCACUACCUGUCUUCGUUGCCAACUGCAGUACCCAGCAGCGACCGACAACCUCCCCCGGGAAGGUAAGUGAUACUUGCAAGGGCUACGGAGCUCAUCAUUCAUCCAUCGGCUCUCCCGGCUCUCCCGGCUCUCCCGGCUCUCCCGGCUCUCUCGGCUCUCUCGGCUCUCUCGGCU
rnacentral:lncRNA from 13 species